rnacentral:rRNA from 1 species
UACGUAGGGGGCAAGCGUUGUCCGGAAUCAUUGGGCGUAAAGCGCGCGUAGGCGCCCUGUAAGUCCGUUGUGAAAGUCGAAGGCUCAACCUUCGAAAGCCGAUGGAUACUGCAGGGCUAGAGUCCGGAAGAGGCGAGUGGAAUUCCUGGUGUAGCGGUGGAAUGCGCAGAUAUCAGGAGGAACACCAAUAGCGAAGGCAGCUCGCUGGGACGGUACUGACGCUGAGACGCGAAAGCGUGGGGAGCGAACAGG